CUCUGCCCCAGUGAGUGACUUGAGUCUGAUUCAAGGAACAUUUGUUUAAUCUAAAGAGGAAUUAUUUAUCCAUCAGUGUUGAUGCUGUUAUUGGUUUCUCUCUGUGAAGCAGCCUCAGGGGGUCACUGUUGAGCAAUUCCUGGAACAGCUGUGUCCUUCUGUGAAGUAUGUGGUAAUGAUAAGUUAAAUAUUAGAUACUGACCAGUCAGUGUUGUUUUUGGUAACCAUGUUUUUAUUGAUUGGUGUUCCGGGGGAAGGAUAGACAUGGAAACAUUUCAUGUGCUAUGGUUGGACAGGGUAAGAAACAAAGGCAUGAACAUGCAUACACAUGCAGCAUACAUCUCUAUAUGUACACAUUUAAAACCAGUUAAAUGUAUAUAGAUAUAUAAGGUGUUGUUCCUUUCCUAAACAAAUUAGACACCAUGAUUAUUGUAUAUUAAAGUAAAUCUUACUCCUUGUGUUUUUUGUAAUAUCCAAAAACCCAAAAUCCUCUACCUAAUCCCUUUGUCUCCUCAAGGUUAUUCACAAUCUAACAAACAGAGUAAAAUAAACUAGUAUUUUCUUGUAAUCAUUUUAGUCAACACAACUUUCAGUUGCAUUAAUUACACAAAUUAAGAGGGGGAACAAGUAUUAGAUACAUAUACAUGAAUUUACAUCAGCACACCGGUUGGACAAGUUCUCAAAUUCAAAUUAGCCCAGUUAUUGGUGAUCAAAAUGUUGUAAGAGUUGGACACUCUUUGUUUGAGACCUCAAAGUUGCAGAAUAACUGCUAGUUUGUUUUCGACCAUUGUAUUUUUGUAAGCUUAUGGGUGUCGACCUCUUUUCGUUCUUUAAUGUACUUUUGAGCCAAGAGCUAAGUAACCCUCUUUUGUUUCAUUUUGUGUAUCGGUUGUUUGUCAGCACCCGUAUAGCCUCUUUCUGUUACUUUCUGUACUUCCUUGUGUAAGCGCCCUCUUUGGUUAAACAACUGACUGUAACCAGAACCUUCCAGUUGUCGCAAUCCACCUCAGUUCCACUCCCUAUUGUAUAUUAAUGCUCUCCAAGACGAGCCGGGUCGUAACACCAGUAAGAUUUAAAUUACAUUUCACAAAAAAAACAUAUAGUAUACCUACAGACUAACUGUUGCUUAGGUUAGAAUAAUGUGAUAUUUCCCAAACAUUUUAAA